rnacentral:misc_RNA from 1 species
UCUUGUCCUGGAGAUUCUAGAGCUACUGAUUAAAUUCACUCUAGGAAAGUGGUUCCCAUGAAAAUCCGAACCCAAAAAACCUAACCCUUUUGGGGUUAUGCCGCUCAUGAGAGUGAAGUUCUCAGCUCCAUUGAGCAUUAAGGAGGCCAUGACUAGAUGAAUCAAAGAUUACCCACCAAGGAAAACAAGUCAAUCUGGAGGUUGUAAAGAAAACCCAGUUGCAGACUCCACUGGUUAUUGGUGGUAGUUGUGGCUUGUUAUUAUUGAGCGAGUAUGAUGUGGCUUCG